rnacentral:tRNA from 1 species
CGGGGUAUUGCUCAGUAGUAGAGCAUUUACCUAGCAUGUAGAAGGUCCUGGGUUCAAUACCCAGCACUGCUA